GACGAACGCUGGCGGCGUGCUUAACACAUGCAAGUCGAACGAUGAAGCCUUUCGGGGUGGAUUAGUGGCGAACGGGUGAGUAACACGUGGGCAAUCUGCCCUGUACUUUGGGAUAAGCCUUGGAAACGGGGUCUAAUACCGGAUAUCACAUUCCCUCGCAUGGGGGUUUGUUGAAAGUCUGGCGGUACAGGAUGAGCCCGCGGCCUAUCAGCUUGUUGGUGGGGUAAUGCCUACCAAGGCGACGACGGUAGCCGCCUGAGAGGUGACCGGCCACACUGGGACGUGAGACACGGCCCACGACUCCUACGGGAGGCAGCAGUGGGGAAGUAUUGCACAAUGGGCGAAAGCCUGAUGCAGCGACGCCGCGUGAGGGAUGACGGCC
rnacentral:rRNA from 1 species